CUACGGGCUGCUCCAGUGGGGAAUAUUGCACAAUGGGGGGAACCCUGAUGCAGCGACGCCGCGUGAGUGAAGAAGUAUUUCGGUAUGUAAAGCUCUAUCAGCAGGGAAGAUAAUGACGGUACCUGACUAAGAAGCCCCGGCUAACUACGUGCCAGCAGCCGCGGUAAUACGUAGGGGGCAAGCGUUAUCCGGAUUUACUGGGUGUAAAGGGAGCGUAGGUGGCGUGGCAAGUCAGAAGUGAAAGCCCGGGGCUCAACCCCGGGACUGCUUUUGAAACUGUCAUGCUGGAGUGCAGGAGAGGCAAGUGGAAUUCCUAGUGUAGCGGUGAAAUGCGUAGAUAUUAGGAGGAACACCAGUGGCGAAGGCGGCUUGCUGGACUGUAACUGACACUGAGGCUCGAAAGCGUGGGGAGCAAACAGGAUUAGAUACCCGCGUAGUC
rnacentral:rRNA from 1 species